UUUUGAUUGUAUAACUUACUUGAUUAGUUGUUUCUAUAGACUGGACAUGAUAGAUGUAAUGCAGGUUUGUGACAAAUGUGUUGAUGGCUUCGAUCAUCACUUCAUGGUAAGGAAUUAUAUCACAGUUAAAACACUUUACUGAAAGUAGACUCUACCAUUUUGGCUAACACUGCAUCGUUGUUGCCUAUUUUCAGGUAUCUGUAUAGGAGAUACUUGGCCAUGGAAGUGGUGAAGGCUCGAAAUGACAAUUCCCAUGGCACGAACUUUCCUGACUCUCUGGAGCCCAUUUACGGCACCUAGUUCCUGCCUCGAAAGUUCAAGAUUCCAGUGACAAUUCCUAUGGAUAACUCACUAGAUAUUCUCACAAAUAACAUUAGUGUUGUAGUAGUUUCUAAUUCCGAAGGGGAACCUCAAGGUUUCAACAUUUACGUUGGAGGUGGUAUGGGAAGAGCCAUAACAUUGAGACCACUUUCCCCCGUCUGGGUGAGCCACUAGGUUACGUUCCGAAAGAGGAUAUAUUGUUUGUUGUCAAAGCGAUUGUCAUUACACAACGAGAGAAUGGGAGAUGGGAUGAUCGGAAAUACAGUAGAAUGAAGUAUUUGAUCAAUGAAUGGGGAAUCGAGAAGUUCAGGACUGUUGCUGAGUAGCAUUAUGGAAAGAAGUUUGAGCCCUUCCGAGAAUAACCAGAGUGGGAAUUCAAGAGCUAUCUGGGCUGGCAUGAUCAGGGGAAUGGUGCAAUGUUUUGGUGGGCUCCAUGUUGAUAAUGGCUGCACUGGAGGUCCAACUUUGCUUAGAACUGAAUUGUCAACUUCAGAAAAGAUUUAAGUAUCUAAUUCUAGGGCUAAAAUUAAACAAAAUGAAGAGAAUAAAACUAAUCAGGAUAAUAAAUAGAGGAUGGAUAGAUGAAGAUUUUGUAAAUUCAUUCCUUUCAGAAUUUUUGAUGAAAAUUUUACUUGUUGCAAAUGUCUUUUAUUCACAGCAGAUCUUGACUAUCUUUUAUGUGAACAGAAUCCUAGGUAUGUGGAUCCACUCAAUAUAACUACAAUGGCAUGUCCCGCACUUCCGUUAUGCCCUCUCGAAAUAGCAGAAGUUGAGUGUGGAAUUCCUGACAAUCUCAAGCAGGUUCGAGCUAUAUUUGAUAAGGCAAGCCAUAAAGCUAUAUACUCACGUGUUUUUUUUUUUUUGUAUGUAAUUCAAAAAUGAACAGAAAAUAUGCAUCAAACCUGUUUUUCCAUGGGGUCACCCAGACACUUGAAAAUGGUGUUUUGUUGUUACAGGUUGGCCUCAAGUACAAUGAGUUAGUGGUAAUAAGGGUAACUGGAUGCCUUAAUGGUUGUGCCAGGCCUUAUAUGGCUGAGCUUGGACUGGUUGGUGAUGGACCCAACAUGUACCAGAAACAAAAGGAUGUUUCUAGUUUGGUUCAUUGCUAGAGGUGAUCAAGAUCAAUCGACUAACACUGCUUGUUGAAGAGUGACAACAGAAUUUUGGGUUUCAAUGAAUCUUAGGUACAACUAUUUCUUUCUU